AGUCGAAGAUACCAGCUGGCUGCAACUGUUUAUUAAAAACACAGCACUGUGCAAACACGAAAGUGGACGUAUACGGUGUGACGCCUGCCCGGUGCUGGAAGGUUAAUUGAUGGGGUCAGCCGCAAGGCGAAGCUCCUGAUCGAAGCCCCAGUAAACGGCGGCCGUAACUAUAACGGUCCUAAGGUAGCGAAAUUCCUUGUCGGGUAAGUUCCGACCUGCACGAAUGGCGUAAUGAUGGCCAGGCUGUCUC
rnacentral:rRNA from 1 species